UCCACCUGCAGGAUUUUCAUUAAUCACUUUUUUCUUUUUUUUUUUAAACACUAUAUUUACCUUUAGCGUCUCUAGGACUAGAAGUCUUUCCAAAUCCCAGUUUCCGCACGACGCCUUUCCUAAUUUUCUGUGUCACAUACAAAAAAUGGCAAAUGGGGGUGCUGAUACAGCAGAUUUGGGAGAAAAUGAAUAUGACAAUAUCAGCAAUUGGAGCAUCUCCAAACUGAUUUCUUCCCUCAAAUCCGCUUUUCGUCCCACGGUCUUCUCAAAAGCGGAGGCUGUCCUAGUGGCGAGGGAAGACAAAUCAAAGCGGGAGAUCGAGGCACUGAAACAGGAAAAGGAUUUGUUUUUCUACAAAUCCGAAGAAGAGAGAUUGGAGAAAAUGAGUUUCGAAAGCGAGCUCAAAAAGUGCAAGAAAGAGUGCGAGGAAAUGAGGAAUGCGGUGUCUAAGUUGCGGGAAGAGAACAUGGUAUUAAGGAAGAGAGAGAAGAGUGCAGAGGAAAGAUGCAAGAAGUUGUUGGAGGAAGUGAAGAGAAUCGGAGAGAAAGACAAGGAAAUGAUUGAUUUAAGGAGCAGGAAUUGCGAGCUUGAAUGUGAGAAGGCGAAGGCUGAAAAUGAGAUGGAAAUAUUGAGGAAGAGAUUUGAGGAGUUGGACAAGAGGGUAUCGAGUUUGGAGAGUGAUUUACGGUUUUUGAGUAAUCAAGAAGAUUUGAAGGAUAAUGAGAUUGGAGGAGAAAGCAGGAGCUUGAAAAACGUGGGGGUAAAAUUUGAUGUGAAGGUGGAAGAAGUCUCUUUUGGUCCAAGUUGUGAUUCUCCUGUCAAAGCUAAUGGGAAUCCACAAAAUGCAGGGAGUGAGAGACCUCCAUCUCAAAGCAUUAUUCAGAUUGUUGAUAGUGAUGAUGAAUGUGCACCAGUUGAAACUCUGAGUGAAAAAGGAAUGGCUUUGCUAUGUCCUGCUGACAACUCACAUGCAGAUCGGAUUGGUGUACAAAAUGGGAGCCCAACUCUCAAAAGAAAACGAACUUCAUGUAUAAUUGUACGUGAGAAUGAAAAUGGCGAUAAUGAUGAUAACUCAUUGACUGGAUCAGUGAAGAUGAAAAAAUGUGAAGAGCCAGUUUGCAAGCCUGAUGAUUGUCCUCUUAAUCCUUGCUCAAAAGCAACUAUCACUUCUGAUAGUAAUGAGGUUGACAAAGGUUUUAGCACACCAAGGGAGGAUUUUAUGGUUUCAAGGCAAUGUGAACAGCAAAUGGAGUCUGAGCAGAAGUCUCAGAAUCUUAUGAAUGGGUUUCCUUUGGAUGGGCUUGGUUUCAUGGAGGAGAGUUCCUGUUCCUCUGACUCUGACUCUGAUGAUGACAAUGAUGGUGUGCAUAUUUUCUUUAACAAUUCUCAGCUUGCACCAGAGGCUCGGAGGGAAAACAGAAAUUAGCCAGAGGAAUUGGAUGGCUAGUUUCUGUUUUAGAUGGGAAAAACCGAAAAAAGCCUUUGUCAAACUGUGCCAAUGGACGAUUUUAUCUUUGAUGUGCGCAGGGGUAUUACUCUGGCCAAGAUUCGCAUAGACGGGGAUCCAGAGGGAAGCUGAAGAAAUACACCUGGGAAUUACUGGAGUUAAGAUUGAGAGGUCUUGAUCAUAAUAAAGAACUAGCUAUUCAGCACUGUAAGCAAUUAUUUGAGAUAGACCGAAAGAAAAAGGAUCCUUUUGGUUAUAAUUGUCGACUGAACGCACCAAUAUUGUUCCUACCCGAAGUCGUUACUGAUAUGGCGACAGCAAACUGUCGAAGAGGAUAGGACUUUUUAUUUUGUGUCUCUCUCCCUGCUUUUAAACAAGUCUCAAACCUUUUCCUCAGGUCUUACUGUAGAUAGUCACAUGUUUUAGAAGACACAAGCAACAUUGUUUAUAGCUGCUAUUAUGCUGGUAUAUCUACAUGCCUUGCCUUUCCAGUAUCUUCAGUGUAGAAUUAAGCAGGUCUCUGCAAUUUUGGGGAAAAGAGCAGGAUAGGCCUUGCCUUUCACUUUUCCCCUUUAGAUUUUUUGCUCUCAGCUACGAGAUUGAAGGGGAGGUGGGUGGUUAGUGCCCAUCUUAAAUACCCAAGAAAAGGAAAGAUAGUCUAUGACAGUAUUGACUUGAUGCUUGCAUCUUGCAAAUCUUCGAGAUGCCUAAUAAAUACAGCAGCAUGUAAACAUUGAAAUUUAUUCCUUCAUGGAUCUUGUUUUAGCUUGUGUAUGGUAAACCAUGAUAUAGCUUGAACAUUUAUUAUACGUUAUUUUUUUUAUAAUUGAGAAAAGAAAAAUUCGGAUUUUAUUUUUUUAUAAAAAAAUUAUGCAUGAAUCAAUGAUUUUAAUGUCCGGGUGCAUUAUACGUCUUAGUUUGUAAGUGUGACUCUGCUUUAUUUUCAAUCCCAUUGUCUGCCGGUUCCGGAGGCAGAGGCACUUUUUAGUUGAAAGAUGCUGUCUAGCUUGUUAAAUCUUACAGUUCUUAGCGAGAUUGAGACUUUGGGAUGGAAUAAUAUUUUCAUGAGAAAUUAUGGGCUAAGGUCACAUCCCCAUGCCCUCUCCAGCGAGGGGUCGAGGAUGAAAGGUACCUUUGAUGUGUAGCUCAUUUAUUGGAAGUUGAAACCUCCGAAAGAGAAGAAAAGAAAGAUAAAAGAAGAAAGGGCAACCUAUUCAACUAGCCUAUGGGGCUAUGGCAGCGAAGGACCGUACGUCAUUUAAAGUAGUGGCUGUAGGAGAAAUGGUGUUGAUGUCACUGUAUAUGGUUUCUCUUACUUAUCUUGUAAAGACUGCAUUUAUUUAUGAUUUGAGUGCAAGUCUUUUUUGAAAUUGCCCUCUCUAUUAAUUCAGACUUUCUUUUUAUGAAAAAGGGUUGAUAAAGGAAGGUUUAUCCCUUACUCUUU